rnacentral:lncRNA from 1 species
UGUGAAUUCAUGAAUAUGUGAAUAGUUAACAUGAUAUGAGCUAAUGCGGGUACGCGAAACCCCACGAAGAUUAUUCGACAUACAUGGGUAUGGAUUGGGAGAAAACGUCUCCAUAACAUUUGACGGGGACAGAAUGGGGAAAGUUUUUUCCCACGAGAACAGGGAUGAAGAGGCACUCCCGGAUAGGGAAUUUCUUGUUGACAUCUUAACGUAAACACCGAUCAACUCUAUCUAGGCGGUUCAACGUGUACAUUUAAACAUAAGAUUAGAUCAAUGCAAGUCGCACUUCAUCCAUUCUUUUGUUCGUUCGUUACAAAUUCAAACACAUUAUCAUCAUGUUUGAGAUCGAAAAUAAGCAGCACUGCAGCAGUUCAGAAGGGGUGAAGAUGGAUUCACCAGUGCGGCCUGCAGCAGUUAAACUAGCCCGAGGCCUAUGGCACUGUGACGUGGGAGAUCGACUGACGAACCUGGCCAAGCAACAAGAACAAAAGCAGACUGGAUAGAUUUGUAUGUAGAGAUAAAAGAAAAAGGGAAAAAAAAUCCAUCGCACCUUCCUCAAGUAUUGCACGAGUUCGAUUUAUCUCCCUCAGGCCUCAAUCGAAAAAAAAACUGAUUAUCAUAUUCUAUAAACAUUUAGAAUCAUUCGAUUUACCUGACAUCGCACGUGAACCUAUGUGACGCCACAUCAGCAACGAGGGAGGUAAAACAAGUCAAAAAGAUCAGGGUUACUUCAAUAUUGCUUAGAUUUUACGGG